GCGACCCCAGGUCAGGCGGGAUUACCCCGCUG
rnacentral:rRNA from 1 species